rnacentral:rRNA from 1 species
UACGGGGGGGGCAAGCGUUGUUCGGAAUUACUGGGCGUAAAGGGCUCGUAGGCGGCCAACUAAGUCCGACGUGAAAUCCCCCGGCUUAACCGGGGAACUGCGUCUGAUACUGGAUAGCUAGAGUUCGGCAGAGGGAAGCGGAAUUUCCGGUGUAGCGGUGAAAUGCGUAGAUAUCGGAAGGAACAUCAGUGGCGAAAGCGGCUUCCUGGACCAGAACUGACGAUCAGGCACGAAAGCGUGGGGAGCAAACGGG